GACAGAGGGUGCAAACGUUGUUCGGAAUUACUGGGCGUAAAGCGCGUGUAGGCGGCCCUGCAAGUCGGAUGUGAAAUCCCACGGCUCAACCGUGGAAGUGCAUUCGAAACUGCAGGGCUAGAGGACUGGAGAGGAGACUGGAAUUUCCGGUGUAGCGGUGAAAUGCGUAGAUAUCGGAAGGAACACCAGUGGCGAAAGCGGCUUCCUGGUCCAGCACCGACGUUCAGGCACGAAAGCGUGGGGAGCAAACAGG
rnacentral:rRNA from 1 species